CCCAAAUUAGCAAAUCUAUGAACAUACUUACACUAGAACAAAAUUGUCACAAAUGAAAACCCAAGUAUAUUUGCAUAAGCAGCAGCAACAACAGAGUCCCAUUUUGUCUCACAUGGAAAACAUGUAAGUGCAUCGAUAUUAUUUUUGUGUGGACAAGAGAUGAUGGCAAAUGCAUUAUGACAUAGAAUACAACAAGUUAUCGCAUUCACGUGAAAACUAGGUUUGGGCAACCAAUGUUUUUACUGUGUGAACAACCAACUUGAGCCAAUUGUAGGCAUACGGAAUUGCCGAGACAUUAACUUGUUCACAUCUUCCCUGGAAUUGGUUCUGAAUAAGCUUCAUUCAAAUUUGGCCUAAAAGACAACAUGGAAGGUCUGAUAAAUCCAUCUUAAUUCUUAUUAAAGUAGAAAACCCGAAACAUUAUAUAACAUAACUAUCAGGAGGACAACAAUAUAUUUGUUCCUACCCCAAAAGUAGAAUCAUGAUGGCUAUUGCUUGCUUGGUAGUCUUGUAGACGGUCCACCAUGAUACUGGUGUUACUUUCUUGCUCUAACAACAUCUGCCGUCAAAGUUAGAAACAUUCAAUAAAUGAUGGAUUUGAUAUAAAAAGGAGAAAGCAAGUACCGUGUCAAGA
rnacentral:lncRNA from 1 species